ACUUCUGCUCUUAUUUCAAGUCCCCUUGCCAUUAUAGGUCUGCUCAAAGAAUGAUGGCAGAGUCCUUUCCUCAGGACAACAAUUCUGACCAUGACAUCUCCUCUACACACCCUCUUCAUACCUUCAGCCCACUUUGACAGCCCUUACCGAGCUGUUCUACAAGUUCUCCAUC